CAAUAGCGUAUAUUAAAGUUGUUGCGGUUAAAAAGCUCGUAGUUGGAUUUCUGCUGAGAACGACCGGUCCGCCCUCUGGGUGUGUAUCUGGCUCUUUCUUGGCAUCUUCUUGGUGAACGUUGCUGCACUUGACUGUGUGGAGCGCUACCCAGGACUUUUACUUUGAGGAAAUUAGAGUGUUUCAAGCAGGCAUACGCCUUGAAUACAUUAGCAUGGAAUAAUAAGAUAGGACCUCGGUUCUAUUUUGUUGGUUUCUAGAGCUGAGGUAAUGAUUAAUAGGGAUAGUUGGGGGCAUUCGUAUUUAACUGUCAGAGGUGAAAUUCUUAGAUUUGUUAAAGACGGACUACUGCGAAAGCAUUUGCCAAGGAUGUUUUCAUUGA
rnacentral:rRNA from 1 species